AUUGAACGCUGGCGGCAGGCCUAACACAUGCAAGUCGAGCGGAUGAAGGGAGCUUGCUCCUGGAUUCAGCGGCGGACGGGUGAGUAAUGCCUAGGAAUCUGCCUGGUAGUGGGGGAUAUCGUCCGGAAACGGGCGCUAAUACCGCAUACGUCCUGAGGGAGAAAGUGGGGGAUCUUCGGACCUCACGCUAUCAGAUGAGCCUAGGUCGGAUUAGCUAGUUGGUGGGGUAAAGGCCUACCAAGGCGACGAUCCGUAACUGGUCUGAGAGGAUGAUCAGUCACACUGGAACUGAGACACGGUCCAGACUCCUACGGGAGGCAGCAGUGGGGAAUAUUGGACAAUGGGCGAAAGCCUGAUCCAGCCAUGCCGCGUGUGUGAAGAAGGUCUUCGGAUUUUAAAGCACUUUAAGUUGGGAGGAAGGGCAGUAAGUUAAUACCUUGCUGUUUUGACGUUACCAACAGAAUAAGCAGCGGCUAACUUCGUG
rnacentral:rRNA from 1 species